rnacentral:lncRNA from 1 species
UGGAAAGGCUUGCUUUGGAGGUGCAGCUGAUCCCACCUAAUGCUCACCUGAAUUUCUUCCCGCCUGUGGCGUGGGCGUGAGAGUCUCCAGGGAAUAAACUGGAAGCCACAGCGGUCUGAGACGUAGCAAAUGGAACUUAUGGAGAACAGAGAGAUGCUCUCCGCGAGGGCUCCGCCGCAGCAUCGGGACUCGGAGAAGCGGCUCAGGGAGCGCGGUGCCCGGCGGGGGAGGCAGCAGGAGCAGAAUUUGGAAGGACAUUCUUGCCAUAAAAUCUUUAUUCCUGAACGUAUAUGA